rnacentral:lncRNA from 1 species
GCCCUAGUAGUCGGUGGCUGGUCGGUGACUGGGACCAGACCGUCGCCUCCUCCCUUUUACAGCUUUAAGUCUGUGACCCGAGGCCUCUCUGUAUAUUCCCGUGGGGUUGGGCCUAGUUGUCCUGGGAGAAACUAGAUGGAUGAGGAGUAUUUCCGAGACAGGUCCCAGGGCCAGCGCAGCCUUUUCUGUUGCAGAACCGCGACUGUUGUUUUGGGAUCCAGGCCGGAGGGUUUGUUGCUUGUGUUCAUUCCAGUUAACCAUUAGUACUCGAGAAGGUGGUACAGAACGCAUCUAUCCCCUUAGAAGAAAAGAAAUUAAAAGCCAAACUAAACUGGGAUAUAUAUUAAUAUAGGAAACUACCACUGAGACAUAGGAAAGUGUAUUAAAAUAUAACUAGUGAGGUGCUAUGUAUAAUUCAGAGGAAGGGGAAAUUAUGCAUGGGCCAGACUACUAACAAAAGGCUCCAAAGCCUGGGAUACGCUGAGGGCCUUUCCAUAACAGAAAAUGAAAAGGAACCUAAAUUUGAGACUAGAUUUGAGGAAAGGCACAGUUGCGCUGGAGUAGAAAGCGUCUGUCUACCGCAGUGGAAAGUAAGUUUUCGUAAAUGCAGACUAGCUCCAGGGUGAGGACAGAAUCUAGCUUUUAAAUCAGUAUAAUCUCUCUUCUUUUACAUUUGAAAAUCUCUGCAGCGAUAUGUUAUUGUAUCCCCAGCACCAUACAAAGGACAUACAAGGGCCAAAUACUGUGGGAAUAUUUAUUAAUGAUAUUAAUGAUGAUGCUGUCCGGGCCAAAGGAAAACUUCCGCUUCACCUUCUGAAGUUUCGCUGAAAGUCACUGACAGGAGGCAGUUAAUAGGAGAAAAGACAUAGACAUUGAUUUGACCAUCGUUUUAUGUGACACGGGAGCCUUCAGAAUGAAGACCCAAAGAUAACAAGGGAAAUCGUGUAUUUGUAUGCUUAGGUUCAACAAAGCAUGGACAGCCGUAUAAAAAAAUGACUGGACAAGGCCGGGCGCGGUGGCUCACGCCUGUAAUCUCAGCACUUUGGGAGGCUGAGGCGGGCGGAUCACAAGGUCAGGAGAUCGAGACCAUCCUGGCUAACACAGUGAAACCCCGUCUCUACUAAAAAUACUAAAAAUUAGCCAGGCGUGGUGGCGGGCGCCUGUAGUCCCAGCUACUCAGGAGGCUGAGGCAGGAGAAUGGCGUGAACCCGGGAGGCGGAGCUUGCAGUGAGCCGAGAUUGCGUCACCGCACUCCAGCCUGGGCGACAGAGCGAGACUCCGUCUCAAAAAAAAUGACUGGACAAAAAACACUCUGAUGCAAACAGGCAAGAAACCCAGCAAGGCCUAUCUGGAUUCUCCUUGGCCUGUCUGCAGCAUUCAUUCCUUCUGGGUAUGGAACAGGACCCUCUGGAAUGGGGGCUGUGGCCUACAACAGUUAAACAAGUGAACUAAAGGGCUCCCAAAAUCUCUCCUGCAGCAUUUUCCUUGAGAAGGAGGAAGGUUUGCAUCUCUGUGAGAAGAAACAUCAGAAGCAGUUGAAAGACCAGGAUGUGGGUCCUCUGGGGCUGAGGAGGCAUUCUGAAUCAACUGUGUGUUCUACACCUGUGUUUUAACUGUGACCUGUCACAUGAGGACAAGUGUGGAAUUUCCCACUUUUGUGCCAUGAGCUGUGAUUGGUUGAUUGAUUUUGAGGCGGAGUUUCACUCUUGUUGCCCAGGCUGAAGUGCAGUGGCACAACCUCUGCUCACUGCAACCGCUGCC